CCCUUUUAAUUUUUAAAUCAAAUUGAAAAUUGAUGACUAUUGAAAAUUCCAUAAGAUGCCGUUCUAAACCGAAUACAUAUCGGUAUUUUGGUAAAAUUUUCAAUUUCCGUUAACCUGAUGACAGGAUUUUCCACUUUUAAAUUAAGGUAAGGGAGAAUACUGGAGCUUCUUUUGUGUGUUAACGUGGCGCACGGCCAUGGCGUUGGGAUAGUGCUCCACUACUUCACAUUACCCAAACAUAACAAUGAAAUAUCUUGUUAAUGAGUUGAUGGAAAUUACAAGCUUCUCCACCAACAUUUAUUUUAAUUAAAUCUGUAUCUAUUUAUGGAACUUUUAAUGUAGGUCGCUAUUUAAAAAUCAAAAAUGGGCAGUGGUUUGAUUCCCAAAAGUAGAGGUUGUAACGAUAGUAACGAUAGUGUAACACUUAAGAAAUUCUUGUUUCUUAAAUUUACUAAAAAAAAAAAUUCCAAACACUAUUAAUGCUUUUCGAGACAAUGAAUGUCAUAUCGUGAAUUGGUUACUUGUAUCAUAAUAUAC